UGUGGCUUUCUGUACGUGGCCUUUAACAGGUUGAGGAAGUUUCCUUCUGUUCCUAGUGUACUGAAUAUUUUUAUUGUGAAGGAGUAUUGAGCUUUUUCAGUUGAAAUGAUCAUGUUUUCUUAACUGUUUCUGUGUAUUACCUUCAUUGAUUUUCAUAUGUUAAACCACUCUUGCAUUCCUGGAGAAAGUCCCACUUGGUUGUAAUAUAUACUAGUUGAGUAUCCCAUAUGAAAAUGCUCAGGAUGCAAGUGUUUCAGAUUUCAGAGCUGUAUGAAUUUUGGAAUAUUUGUGUAAGCUUUACUAGUUGAUCAUCCUUAAUCCAAAAGUUGGCUAUCUGAAAUGCUUUGAAAUCCAAAAUCUUUGUAGCAUCAUUGCUCAAAAAGUUUCAGAUUUCAAAUCAUUUUAGGUUUUUGGAUUGGGAAUGUAAUGUGAUUGGGCUUGUAAUGCUUUUGACGUGCUGUUAAAUUCAAUUUGUUAUUUUUGUUGAGGAUUUUUGCCUUUCUUUACAAGGGUUAUGACCUGUAGCUUUCUUUUCUUGUAGAAUCUGUCUAGCUUUGAUAUCAGGGUAUUGCUGGCAUUAUAGAAUGAAGUGUUCUCUCCAAUUUUUUGGAAUAGUUUGAGGGUUUGAAUUAAUUCUUUAAAUAUUUGUUAGAAUACCAGUGAAGUGAUCUGGUUCUAGGCUUUUCUUUAUUGGGGCAUUCUGCUAAUGAUAUAAUCCCCUUUCUUAUAAUAGUUCUUUUCAGAUGUUUAUCUCUUCUUCAAUCAGUUUUGGUAGUUUGUGUGUUUCUAGGAAUUUAUCCAUUUUAUCUUUGUUAUUCAAACUUGUUGGUAUACAGUUGUUCAUGGUAUUCUCCCCUCAUUCUUUUAUUUCUGUACAUUAAGCAGUAAUGUGUCUCUUUCAUUUCUAAUUUUAGUAAUUUGAAUCUUUUUUCCCCAUCGGUCCAAUUUAGUUUUAUCACUUUUGUUGAUCUAAUAAAAAGAACCAACUUUUGGUUUUGUUGACUCUCUCUUCUU
rnacentral:lncRNA from 1 species